rnacentral:misc_RNA from 1 species
CGGGCCUCCUCUUCUCUUAGUUUUGGUUUGGGUACUUUCCUUUGGCGGGUCAGAACCCGGAACAGUGGGAGAGACGGCGGAUUCCGCCUUAACCGGCGGAGGCUGAGCAGUGAAGGUAUGAAAAGCAGAGGAAGUGGGGGAAGGCGCAGAUUGGAAAUUAGGGCUCUGAUGAAGGGAAAAGAGGUCUUUCUGCGAAGAGGGUAGCUGUUGUUGUUG